AGUUAGGGCCAUUGUUUAUAAAUAUUGUGUUUCGAAAACAAACAUUGAAAUAGUGUAUGCGAAGUCCAUUCGUUAUAAUUAAGCUGAAACGUGAUGUUCUAUGAAUGUAUAUUUUGCUUUCUAUUCAUUUUAGAGUUGCAACUAUUUCAAAACAAGGUUGAAUGUUCACACGCAUUGGGACCCUUGGACAAUAUAUUCACCAGUUUUGAGAGUGAAAUAAAGAGUCAUUAUGGCACCACAAUCAAACCCGUCUAUAUCGAAAUUGACAGAGCCGAAUUUCAGAAAACACGACCGCGGCGUAACAAGCGAAAGAAAACUAAGAAAACAAAAAAGAAACCGCAUAAACAUGACCAAAA